GUCUAACCAUGCAAGUCGAGCGCCCAGCAAUGGGAGCGGCAGACGGGUGAGUAACGCGUGGGGAUCUACCCAUUGGUACGGAAUAACCCAGGGAAACUUGGACUAAUACCGUAUGUGCCCUUCGGGGGAAAGAUUUAUCGCCAAUGGAUGAACCCGCGUCGGAUUAGCUAGUUGGUGAGGUAAAGGCUCACCAAGGCGACGAUCCGUAGCUGGUCUGAGAGGAUGAUCAGCCACACUGGGACUGAGACACGGCCCAGACUCCUACGGGAGGCAGCAGUGGGGAAUAUUGGACAAUGGGCGCAAGCCUGAUCCAGCCAUGCCGCGUGAGUGAUGAAGGCCUUAGGGUUGUAAAGCUCUUUCGCCGGUGAAGAUAAUGACGGUAACCGGAGAAGAAGCCCCGGCUAACUUCGUGCCAGCAGCCGCGGUAAUACGAAGGGGGCUAGCGUUGCUCGGAAUCACUGGGCGUAAAGCGCACGUAGGCGGAUCGUUAAGUCAGGGGUGAAAUCCUGGGGCUCAACCUCAGAACUGCCCUUGAUACUGGCGAUCUCGAGUUCGAGAGAGGUUGGUGGAACUCCGAGUGUAGAGGUGAAAUUCGUAGAUAUUCGGAAGAA
rnacentral:rRNA from 1 species